rnacentral:rRNA from 1 species
UACGGAGGAUGCGAGCGUUAUCCGGAUUUAUUGGGUUUAAAGGGUGCGCAGGCGGGAGAUUAAGUCGGCGGUGAAAUUUUGCAGCUCAACUGUAAAAGUGCCUUCGAAACUGGUUUCCUUGAGUGUAGAUGAAGUAGGCGGAAUUUGUGGUGUAGCGGUGAAACGCAUAGAUAUCACGAGGAACUCCGAUUGCGCAGGCAGCUUACUAAACUACUACUGACGCUCAGGGCACGAAGGCGUGGGGAUCAAACAGGAUUAGAUACCCUGGUA